rnacentral:tRNA from 1 species
UCCGCAGUAGCUCAGCGGUAGAGCGGCCGGCUGUUAACCGGUUGGUCGCAGGUUCGAGUCCUGCCUGCGGAGCCA